AACACAUAAAAAUAAAAUAAAAAAUAAAGACAAUAAUCAUCAAGGCAAACAUUUGCAUAGUGCUUACUGCGUGCCGGGUACUAUUCUAAAUGCUCUUACGAGUAUUGAGUCUCUGUCAUCUUUACAACAACCUUUGCAGUACCGUGACUAUUAUUAUUUCUAUUUUAUAGAUGAUGAAACUGGGGCACAGAAUGGUCAAGUAACUUGACCAAGGCCAUAUGGGUCGUAAAUGACAGACUUCAACCCGGGAAAUAAUGGUUUCAGAGAUUGAGUUUGAGAAAAUAGCAUUUCCGGAAGAAGAGGAAGCAUUUAUCCAAGCACAAAAGGAACCAUAGAGCGGUGCUGUGACGUAGAAGGAAGCGCUGGGUCCAAAUACAUUCCUAGCUUCUGCAGGCUUCUGUGCCAACAGCUAGCUGAUCCUCUUCCGAUGCCAUUCUUCGUUCCAUUCCCAUGACCAAAGACCAAAACUGACCGGCAGCAGAAGGCUCAUCUGAGCAAGCACUUCCUCUGUUGAGGUGCCCCUGUCUGUUGACCGCACUGCUGGAGACCAGAGCCUGUGAGCCCGGAUUCUUGGAUGAAGUGGAGGUGAGCCAAAGACAUUUUCUCCUAUCAAUUCUACCAGUAAUAACGGUGACAUUUCCCUAUGUGUCAGUCUGUUGUGUCUUCUGCCAUAGUUAGUCUUUACUUUUUUCAUUUGUUCAGCGUUUAAGAUGUGCAAAUUAUGUGCAGGGAAUUGUGGGGAGCACAUUUAGGCAAGGGACACUCCUUUCCAUGGCAUUGGCUUUGCUCUGUUGUUUAGCCUUAGCCUGAAAGGUGAACUCAUGGCAGGUGGAGCUAGCCAGUUAGGAUCCCACUUCCGCUAUCAGAGGAGGAUUUCUGAUUUCAACAGUCACAUGAAUAGGAAGUUGUAAGGGGAAUGGGUGUAAUAUGAUGCAGUGUUACGAAUUUGUGAACUGGCUUUUAUUUUCCACGUAAGGAAAUUUUGUGUGCUUUAAAAUUUUUAAAAAUUUUUUAUGUUGCAAUCAAGCUUAAAUAUUUAGGGGGACCCAUACUAACUAAUAUCCUCACCGUUUAAAGGAUUUUAGAAAAUUCAAGAUGAUUCUUGGAGAUGAUCCUCAUAGUGGUGGCUUUUAGGCAACAGGCUUGAGCCAUGGAAAUGUGAGCAAGGCAAAAGGGUUCACAGUGACCUCCCGGACUGAAUGCAAACAGGCUCAUUAAGUGAUGCACCCCAAAAUAGCCAUAGACCCUAACUAACAAAUGGGCUACUUACAACGAGGCAGAGUU
rnacentral:lncRNA from 1 species